GUGAGGGAUAUUGGUCAAUGGGGGAAACCCUGAACCAGCAACGCCGCGUGAGGGAAGACGGUUUUCGGAUUGUAAACCUCUGUCUUAUGUGAAGAUAAUGACGGUAGCAGAGAAGGAAGCUCCGGCUAACUACGUGCCAGCAGCCGCGGUAAUACGUAGGGAGCAAGCGUUGUCCGGAUUUACUGGGUGUAAAGGGUGCGUAGGCGGUCCUGCAAGUCAGAAGUGAAAUCCAUGGGCUUAACCCAUGAACUGCUUUUGAAACUGUGGGACUUGAGUGGAGUAGAGGUAGGCGGAAUUCCCGGUGUAGCGGUGAAAUGCGUAGAGAUCGAGAGGAACACCAGUGGCGAAGGCGGCCUACUGGGCUCUAACUGACGCUGAGGCACGAAAGCGUGGGUAGCAAACAGG
rnacentral:rRNA from 1 species